rnacentral:rRNA from 1 species
UACAGAGGUCUCAAGCGUUGUUCGGAUUCAUUGGGCGUAAAGGGUGCGUAGGCGGCGCGGUAAGUCGGGUGUGAAAUCUCGGAGCUUAACUCCGAAAUUGCAUUCGAUACUGCCGUGCUUGAGGACUGGAGAGGAGACUGGAAUUCAUGGUGUAGCAGUGAAAUGCGUAGAGAUCAUGAGGAAGACCAGUGGCGAAGGCGGGUCUCUGGACAGUUCCUGACGCUGAGGCACGAAGGCCAGGGGAGCAAACGGG